rnacentral:rRNA from 1 species
CGCUGGCGGCGUGCUUAACACAUGCAAGUCGAACGAGAAUCUGUGGAUCGAGGAUUCGUCCAAGUGAAGCAGAGGACAGUGGCGGACGGGUGAGUAACGCGUGAGGAACCUGCCUUUCAGAGGGGGGACAACAGUUGGAAACGACUGCUAAUACCGCAUGAUACGUUUUAGGGGCAUCCCUGAGACGUCAAAGAUUUAUCGCUGAAAGAUGGCCUCGCGUCUGAUUAGCUAGUUGGUGAGGUAACGGCCCACCAAGGCGACGAUCAGUAGCCGGACUGAGAGGUUGACCGGCCACAUUGGGACUGAGACACGGCCCAGACUCCUACGGGAGGCAGCAGUGGGGAAUAUUGCACAAUGGGGGAAACCCUGAUGCAGCGACGCCGCGUGAGCGAAGAAGUAUUUCGGUAUGUAAAGCUCUAUCAGCAGGGAAGAAGAAAUGACGGUACCUGACUAAGAAGCACCGGCUAAAUACGUG